rnacentral:lncRNA from 1 species
CGGCAGGCAGACAUUCUGGAGACCAAAGGGGCGAUUGUAGUAUUAUUUUAAGAACUAAAACUUCCCAGAGCCCCAAAAUGUUCUGAGGACCUUCAAAGAAAGCUGUUUUUGUCCUUUGAAGGUUUGGCCAGUGUUUGACCUUCUCGCUGAAUCGUCCAAUUUCUUUCAAAGGACACAAUUGGGAACCUUGAUUAUUACCAAAGCUUUGACCGGAAUGUUAUAUUUGAGAGAAACAUAAAGAUUCAGAUAUGACAAGACAGCUUUUGAGGAACAAAGAUUGGACUCUAUGAAAUAAAUCCAUUUGGAAAUAUUAGUCUGUUACCUUGUUUACAGGGUUCCCAGCAACCUUACCAGGAAUGUGAUGACCCCCAGGCAGCGAGUCUAUGCUGAUAGCCAUCAUCAAUGACAACUAAAAAAGCAAGGUAUAGGGCAUUACUCCAGUCUCUGAUGCAUAGCCAGUAAAACAAGACUAUCAGGAAAUAAGACCAGAUGUCUGCUCCCACCUGGAGAUCAGAUGGUUCCCCUCACUGGGAGAUCAGAUGCCUCUCCCACCCAGAGACCAGUCCCCAAUAUAACUGGCCUGUAGUCUUUGUUCUGUAAGAUGGUUCCUUCACACAUUUUGUUGGCCACCUUUCCCCUUGCUUGCAAGCUGUAAUAAAUCCCUUUCUCUCCUACCACCUUGCCUCUCAACUAUGGCAUGUCUUGAGGUGGGCAGACAACCCCCCUUGGAUGAUAACAUCCAUGCAGUUGCCCCUGAAGCUGAUUCACACAGGACUUCCUUCCACAAUGCCUUCCUCAUGUAACAAAAGCAGAGCUUGUGCCUCACAUGCCCAGAUGUAUAAAAGAAUGUAAAAGAC